rnacentral:tRNA from 1 species
UGGGUUGUGGCUCAGUGGUAGAGCACUUGCCUAGCAUGUAUGAGGCACUGGGUUCAAUCCUCAGUACCACAU